rnacentral:rRNA from 1 species
UACAGAGGCCUCGAGCGUUAGGCGGAAUCACUGGGCUUAAAGCGUGUGUAGGCGGACUUCUAAGUACCUUGUGAAAUCCCACGGCUUACCCGUGGAACGGCUGGGUAUACUGGUUGUCUUGAGCCACUUAGGGGCUACCGGAACAAAUGGUGGAGCGGUGAAAUGCGUAGAUAUCAUUUGGAACGCCAAUGGUGAAAACAGGUAGCUGGGAGUGUGCUGACGCUGAGACACGAAAGCCAGGGGAGCGAACGGG